GACGAACGCUGGCGGCGUGCUUAACACAUGCAAGUCGAACGGAAAGGCCUCUUUCGGGGGGUACUCGAGUGGCGAACGGGUGAGUAACACGUGAGUAACCUGCCCUUGACUUUGGGAUAACUUCAGGAAACUGGGGCUAAUACCGGAUAGGAGCUCCUGCUGCAUGGUGGGGGUUGGAAAGUUUCGGCGGUUGGGGAUGGACUCGCGGCUUAUCGGCUUUUUGGGGGGGUAGUGGCUUACCAAGGCUUUGACGGGAAGACGGCCUGAGAGGGUGACCGGCGACAGAGGGCCCGAGGGAAGGCCGGAGUCGCGAGGGGGGGACGAGGGGGGGAAUCCUGAACCAGGCGUGCAGCCUGCGGGAAGAAGGCCUGCGGGUGGGAAGCCGGUUUUGGGCUGGAAGAAAGCUUCCGCGCUAACAGCCCGUUGGGGUGAGGGUAGGGGAAAAAUAAGCACGGGCUAACUACGUG
rnacentral:rRNA from 1 species